rnacentral:rRNA from 2 species
GGGUUGUGAGGUUAAGCGACUAAGCGUACACGGUGGAUGCCCUGGCAGUCAGAGGCGAUGAAGGACGUGCUAAUCUGCGAUAAGCGCCGGUAAGGUGAUAUGAACCGUUAUAACCGGCGAUUUCCGAAUGGGGAAACCCAGUGUGAUUCGUCACACUAUCAUUAACUGAAUCCAUAGGUUAAUGAGGCGAACCGGGGGAACUGAAACAUCUAAGUACCCCGAGGAAAAGAAAUCAACCGAGAUUCCCCCAGUAGCGGCGAGCGAACGGGGAGGAGCCCAGAGCCUGAAUCAGCAUGUGUGUUAGUGGAAGCGUCUGGAAAGGCGCGCGAUACAGGGUGACAGCCCCGUACACAAAAGCGCAUGUGCUGUGAGCUCGAUGAGUAGGGCGGGACACGUGGUAUCCUGUCUGAAUAUGGGGGGACCAUCCUCCAAGGCUAAAUACUCCUGACUGACCGAUAGUGAACCAGUACCGUGAGGGAAAGGCGAAAAGAACCCCGGCGAGGGGAGUGAAAAAGAACCUGAAACCGUGUACGUACAAGCAGUGGGAGCACAGGUUUACCUGUGUGACUGCGUACCUUUUGUAUAAUGGGUCAGCGACUUAUAUUCUGUAGCAAGGUUAACCGUAUAGGGGAGCCGCAGGGAAACCGAGUCUUAAC